rnacentral:rRNA from 1 species
AAUCAACGCUGGCGGCGUGCCUCAGACAUGCAAGUCGAACGCGAAAGUUUCCUUCGGGGAACAAGUAGAGUGGCGCACGGGUGAGUAACACGUAGGUAAUCUACCUUUGGAUGGGGAAUAACAACCGGAAACGGUUGCUAAUACCGCAUAAUGCAGCGGCACCUAAUGGUGACAGUUGUUAAAGCGGGGGAUCGAAAGACCUCGCGUCUGAAGAGGAGCCUGCGGCGGAUUAGCUAGUUGGUAAGGUAAUGGCUUACCAAGGCGACGAUCCGUAACCGGCCUGAGAGGGCGGUCGGGUCACACUGACACUGACAUACGGGUCAGACUCCUACGGAGGCAGCAGUCGGGAAUUUUGGGCAAUGGGCGAAAGCCUGACCCAGCAACGCCGCGUGAAGGAUGAAAUCCCUCGGGAUGUAAACUUCGCAAGAACGGGAAGAAUAAGCGAGAGUUAA